rnacentral:rRNA from 1 species
ACUCCUACGGGAGGCAGCAGUAAGGAAUAUUGGUCAAUGGGGGCAACCCUGAACCAGCCAUGCCGCGUGCAGGAAGACGGCCCUCUGGGUUGUAAACUGCUUUUAUCCGGGAAUAAACCCCCUUACGUGUAAGGGGCUGAAUGUACCGGAAGAAUAAGGAUCGGCUAACUCCGUGCCAGCAGCCGCGGUAAUACGGAGGAUCCAAGCGUUAUCCGGAUUUAUUGGGUUUAAAGGGUGCGUAGGCGG